CAGGAAGAGAUAUCAAAACAAAGUACACAAGUAGUUCCUCAGUUAAAUCCAGCUUGAGUGACUUAAGUUUCAGAGCAAGAUGAGACAUUUCCAUUAUGUACUCCCUAAUGUUUCCCUUGCCCUUAUACCUCAUGGAACCAAGUUUAUCGCCUUUUCGUUUUGAAUAAAACGCUGUUCGAGGUUUCCAAGGAAAACUUUGGCAUUGGGUUC
rnacentral:lncRNA from 1 species